rnacentral:rRNA from 1 species
AGGGAAUAGAUACCCAGGUAGUCCUGGCAGUAAACGGUGCACGUUUGGUGUGGGCGCAAUCGACCGCGUCCGCGCCGGAGCUAAACGCGUUAAACGUGCCGCCUGGGAAGUACGGUCGCAAGAUUAAAACUCAAAGAAAUUGGCGGGGACCCGCACAAGCGGUGGAGUAUGUGGCUUAAUUCGAUGCAACGCGAAGAACCUUACCUGGUCUUGACAUGCAUUGUGUCUCCGGUGAAAGCCGGAUAGGGUAGCAAUACCCGCUUUGCACAGGUGCUGCAUGGCUGUCGUCAGCUCGUGUCGUGAGAUGUUGGGUUAAAGUCCCGCAACGAGCGCAACCCCUGUGAUUUGUUGCCACCGGCUUAUGCCGAGCACUCGAAUCAGACUGCCUCGAUCAACGAGGAGGAAGGUGGGGAUGACGUCAAGUCCGUAUGGCCCUUACGACCAGGGCUGCACACGUACUACAAUGCCCAGUACAAUGUGAACCGAGACCGCGAGGUGGAGGAAAUCAAUAAAACUGGGCUCAGUUCAGA